GAUGAACGCUGGCGGCGUGCCUAAUACAUGCAAGUCGAGCGAACAGAUGAGGAGCUUGCUCCUCUGACGUUAGCGGCGGACGGGUGAGUCACACGUGGAUAACCUACCUAUAAGACUGGGAUAACUUCGGGAAACCGGAGCUAAUACCGGAUAAUAUAUUGAACCGCAUGGUUCAAUAGUGAAAGACGGUUUUGCUGUCACUUAUAGAUGGAUCCGCGCCGCAUUAGCUAGUUGGUAAGGUAACGGCUUACCAAGGCAACGAUGAGUAGCCGACCUGAGAGGGUGAUCGGCCACACUGGAACUGAGACACGGUCCAGACUCCUACGGGAGGCAGCAGUAGGGAAUCUUCCGCAAUGGGCGAAAGCCUGACGGAGCAACGCCGCGUGAGUGAUGAAGGUCUUCGGAUCGUAAAACGCUGUUAUUAGGGAAGAACAAAUGUUUAAGUAACUAGGCAGGUCUUGACGGUACCGAAUCAGAAAGCCACGGCUAACUACGUG
rnacentral:rRNA from 1 species